rnacentral:pre_miRNA from 1 species
GUUGGGGAGGGGGAGGAGUCCCUCAGCCCGGAUUGUGAGAGGGUGCAGUCCAGGCUGAGGGACCCCGCCGGUGCAUG